AAAGCGAGGAUGCAGUUCUAAAGGAUUUAUUGACUCAAAAACCAAACUGAAACAAGCUUACAUGGAAGUCCAAACUGAGAGCAGCAGCAGAAAACCAGCCAACAGCAGGACAAUCACGACCACACAAACAACCAGAGGAACAAACAGAGGCUGAACCACAGGCCCAUCAUCAUCUGGACGAGAGACACAGAGGUCUCUCACCUUUGAUCACAAUCAGAUACGCAGCUGGUUUUCCAUCACAGUAGUAAAGUCCGGAGUCACAAGGCUGCACGUGGAUUAUAGUCAACGUCUUUUCAUAAGAUGAAACAUAAAAACGUCUUUGUUGCUGUAUUUCACCAGACUCUCGGCUCCAUUUUUGGAAAAGCUGAGCCGCCAACAUCAGGAGGGCAUUUCAGAGUGACAGUGGUCCUCUCUGCAGCCGUGAGACUCUCUGUCCCUGAACACAACAAAGAAAACAACAUUCAUGUUUCAUAAUGCUCCAUCAUGCAUUUAUCAAACAACCUGUUACUUGACAGAGGUAUUAAAAAGUUUAAAGAGUCCAUGUAAAAGUUCCUGAAUGAGGUUUUAGAUGAGAGGAUUUAAUUUGGUGUAAUAUUUCCUGACUCUACAUGAAGAAGAGCAGUGAUGUCUUUUACAGUAUUUAAACAGUCUGAAGAUAAAAUUUCCUGUGAGACCUGCUCACAAGAUUAAACAUUCAGUUUAAUCAAACCCCUAAAAGUUAGAACACACAGUUUAUACUCAGUAACAUUCAAGAAUCUUCAAAGCUAUUUGUGACUCAUUCUCUUUGUGAGAAGCUCAGUUUGAGUUUUAUUAUUCCUGCACUGGGAUGUGAUCAGACACAGGGAGUUUGGCAGUUUAAAAGAAAAAUAGAGUUUGAUUUCAUAUUUAGUGAAGCAUAUUACAAUCUUUAUAAAACAGGAAGUAAAUGUAAAUUUAAUAUUUAGUUUAGUAAAUUUAAAAUUAAUGACAAAGUACAACAGAACACAUUUGAAAUUACAAUUUCCUUAAUGUGCCGAUAAAUUUCUGUUAUCAAAGAUUAAGAAAAAUGAAAAAUUUAGCUCAGAGGCAUAAUUUUGAGAAAAGAAAACAGAAAGCAGAACGACUUGAGUAAUGUUUGAAGUUACCUCUUGGGGUCACUAUCAGCUCCACAGGUUCAUUAUUGCAGUAGUAUCUUCCAGUGUCUGAGAGGCCAGCUUUGCUAAUCGUAAGUGAAUUAUCUUCCAAUAAAAAGUAUCGUCUGUCUGGGACAA